GACUGCUAUCGGAUGAUACUAAGCCAUGCGAGUCUUGCAGUAAUGCAAGGCAUACGGCUCAGUAACACGUAGUCAACCUACCCUAUGGACGAGAAUAAUCUCGGGAAACUGAGCAUAAUUCUUGAUAGAUCAUAAUGCCUGGAAUGGUUUAUGGUUAAAAUGAUUCGUCGCCAUAGGAUGGGACUGCGGCCUAUCAGCUUGUUGGUGAGGUAAUGGCCCACCAAGGCGAUUACAGGUACGGGCUCUGAGAGGAGAAGCCCGGAGAUGGGUACUGAGACACGGACCCAGGCCCUAUGGGGCGCAGCAGGCGAGAAAACUUUGCAAUGUGCGAAAGCACGACAAGGUUAAUCCGAGUGAUUUCUGCUAAAGAAAUCUUUUGCCAGUCGUAAAACCGCUGGUGAAUAAGGGGUGGGCAAGUUCUGGUGUCAGCCGCCGCGGUAAAACCAGCACCUCAAGUGGUCAGGAUGAUUAUUGGGCCUAAAGCAUCCGUAGCCGGCUUUGUAAGUUUUCGGUUAAAUCCAUGUGCUCAACGCAUGGGCUGCCGAAAAUACUGCAUAGCUAGGGAGUGGGAGAGGUAGACGGUACUCAGUAGGUAGGGGUAAAAUCCUUUGAUCUAUUGAUGACCACCUGUGGCGAAGGCGGUCUACCAGAACACGUUCGACGGUGAGGGAUGAAAGCUGGGGGAGCAAACCGGAUUAGAUACCCGGGUAGUCCCAGCUGUAAACGAUGCAGACUAGAUGAUGCAUUGGCAUAAUAGCCAUUGCAGUGUCUCAGGAAAGCCGUUAAGUCUGCCGCCUGGGAAGUACGUACGCAAGUAUGAAACUUAAAGGAA
rnacentral:rRNA from 1 species